AGAACGAACGCUGGCGGCAGGCCUAAAACAUGCAAGUCGAGCGCCCAGCAAUGGGAGCGGCGGACGGGUGAGUAACACGUGGGAAUGUACCUUUCGGUACGGAACAACGCAGGGAAACUUGCGCUAAUACCGUAUGCGCCCUUACGGGGAAAGAUUUAUCGCCGAAAGAUCAGCCCGCGUUGGAUUAGCUAGUUGGUGAGGUAACGGCUCACCAAGGCGACGAUCCAUAGCUGGUUUGAGAGAACGACCAGCCACACUGGGACUGAGACACGGCCCAGACUCCUACGGGAGGCAGCAGUUGGGAAUCUUGGACAAUGGGGGAAACCCUGAUCCAGCCAUGCCGCGUGAGUGAUGAAGGCCUUCGGGUUGUAAAACUCUUUCGACGGGGACGAUAAUGACGGUACCCGUAGAGAAGCUCCGGCUAACUUCGUGCCAGCAGCCGC
rnacentral:rRNA from 1 species